CAUUGAUGUGUUUAUGUUUCUGUGAUUUAAGAGUCUACCAGCUUGGAAGAUGCACUUUUUUACAGUGACAGUGUAGAGCUGUGUCUGUGUGCAGGCACUCAUAGCUGUAGUCUCUGUGGUGUCUGCUGGUUUUUAGAGCUGGAUGUGGCUGAAGGAGCUCUAAAAUUAAGGUUUGGAAGCCCAGGUUUUCUCAGAGCUUAGGUUGUCUUGAACUCUUGAAUCCAACUAUGCAGAAAAGAAUACAUUAAAGGCAAAGUAAUACCUUGGUGAAGCUGCUCUAAGCUUGAACUGCUGACUUGCACCCAGCUAUGUUUGGGGAGAAAGCUGUCUUCAGGUUUUGGGACUUAGUCAAGGAUAUUUCCUCAGUCUCGAGGACUGGGUAACUGUUGCUGCACCUCGAGGGCUUUCCUCUGCCCCUCAGGUGUGUGUGCACACCUCAGGCCUGGUGGGGGCUGCUUCCCAAAGCAGAUCGGUCUUCAGGCUGCACGCCGCCAUGGGCUGUGGCUCCCUGGGACCAUCCUGACGGCUUGGAGUUUGGACCCUGCAGUUGUUGCACAUACCAGAGAAGGAGCUAAUGAUUAAUGCACGUGAAGUAAGCUGCUCUCGAACAGUAAUCUGAAAUGGCAGUAGCAGGAUUGGAGAAGCAGGCAUAUCCUGUCAGUUGCUUUGAGCUAAGUACAUGAACCCCCUGGUCUGUGUGUCCUGUGGUCAAGUGAUGUGGAAGUGCCACUGGGUGCCAGUUGCACCACCACUUGGGCACCUCCAGUUCUACAACAGCGCGUUUUUUCUCUUUAGAUCUCUUGUUCCCUGACAGGUAUAAACACGGCUACUUGUGUAGAGGGAUGAUACUCAUCCAGAUGUUUUUGUUGUUAUUUUUUUUCUUUCCUGCCUAGUUUCUCUAGGAGAUUUUCCUGAUUCUACCCUCAUAUCAAAUGUAGUGGGGCGUCUGUUGCAUUUGGAAAAAAAAAAAAUACUCCCUGUUUGUCAGAAUGUGCACUUAGGCAAAUAUCAUUUUUGUCUGUUUUUUAAGGAAAAAAUUACAUUUCCUUUAUAUAUUUAUUAAUGGACACAGAUGUGAAAUGAACUGGCAGAGCAGAUUAUCUGUUGCCAAAGGAAAGUCUUAAGCACCAUGGAUGUGAUCCAGCAAAUGUGACAGUCCUCCAGAGAGCUACAAAUGAUGCUAAGGAAGAGGAGAACUUGACAGCUUUGGAAAUACCAGGUCUACAGAGAGGUGGAGUAGCAAUAGCACACAUUGAGGGAUAAGAGAUGUGUUGUAAAACUGGAUGUCAAACACGCAUCUUGGUUAGCCAUAGCCAGCCAGUGCUGAAUAUGUGAGUCCUGGUGGUAUAUCUUCAGGUAACAAAACCUGCUGGAUGCUAGUGAUUUGCCACAGAAUAUGCUGAGCUCUGACAACUGUUCACAGUGCUGGGGCAAUGAGCUGAGGGGAUGGGUGAGACGGAGCUGUACCUGAUGCCAGUCACUGCAAAAAGUAAGGCAGGCUUUUUGUUGGACAGAGUGCCUGUGUGCACAGUGAUGUGCAAAGCAGAUAGCACGUGUGGCUGGGUGGAGAGCAGCAGCGUGGACAACAAGGGUGUUGUCUAUUCCCUGAAUGUGCGCAGGGCGGAGUCACAAAAAUUGUGUAUGGGAAGGGGUAACAAAUAGCAUGAGGAAAUCAUGUGGAGAUCAGGGGAAGCAAACUCAUGUUCAUGGCAGGAAGGAGAGAAAGGGUGGAGAAAAUGGAAUGAUGGAAUGAUGGAGAGGAAGGCACAGAAAGACACAGGUCUACUUUUUGUUCUGAUGAAGGCUGACCUUGGAUGCAUCUGUAAAUUUGACAAUCAGCAGAAGAAAUCUUGAAGCUAUCACUGCUAGCAAUGAGUCUAAUAUUACUAAAAUUAUAGCUUUAAUUAAAAUAAUAGAACUGAAUACCUGUCUCCUCCAGAAGGAAGUUCCCUUUCCCCCCCCCUAUUCAAAGGUUUGAAAUGCUUUUUUACAAGGCUGAUGUCAAGAUGUCACUAGAAAUGUGGGAGGGCAUGGUGAUAUCAUGGUGUGAGAGACAGUUAUGGGCAAGGCACAUAAACUUUAUGAAAUAUAUUGUAACUUUUCUCCCUUCCGUUUUAGCCAUUGCCUAAACUGUAACCAUAAAACUGUUCUUAAAAUAGCACUGCAGGUUUAAAAAAAAAAAAAAAAAAAAAAAGGAAAAGUACUGAAUUAGACUUAUUUAUUUAUUUUCAGCCAACUUGUUCAAACAGCCUUUGUUAAUAGGAGAGCUUCAGGGGGAUUCUGUGGAUCCUACGAAAGGGAAUCGUAUUGUGGCUACUGGGGCUCUUACUAAUAAUUUUCUAUCUCCUUGCAAAGUCAGGAACUUCUUCCUAUCUACCUAUGCACAGAAAUUUAUGUCUGCAAGACAAAAUAGGUUUGCAUUCAACAUUUACUCUAAAUCAUGCAAACAAGAUUAGCUGAUCUGUCUAAAAGCAUGUUCAUGGAAGAUGCUUGAAUAGGCUGGGUCAUGCUGUGGGAAUGUUGCCUGCACAGACAUUUCAAGCACUUCUGUGGAGCAGAGGCCUGCUAAUGCCUUCACGAUGGUCCACUCAGUCUUCCAGAUGUUCCCAAGCAGUAACUGUGCAGUAAAUAAAGGUAUAAAAUAUGUAGUUGUAAACUGUUGAGUGUCUAAUGAUAGCAAAGAUAACUGAUUGAGUCUUCACGUGUUUGAUACGGUUGAGAAGCUGUAACACGGAGAUGAAUCAGUGCUAGGCCACAAGACUUAGGGACUGGUUGAAACUCUCUGACUGGGUUCUGGUAGUUCUGCUUUCACUGGUUUCAGCCAAGCUUGCUGCCUUAAGCCAUGGCACAGGAAGCUGAUGCUUCUUUGUGCACUUAGAGGGUGGCAUAGCAAUGCUGCCUUGUCCUCCUGUGCUGCCACACAGAUGUCACUGUCUGAGACCAGAGCCAGAGGUGGGGUUGUCUCUCUAACAGCCAGGUGAGGACACUCAUCUGCUUGAGUUAGUAGUUCUAGUGCCAAUCUACCAAAAUUGCUAACUUUUCUGAUAAUCUCCAUGUGCUGAUCCGAUGCCUCCAUAUAGGCACAGAGGAUAACUGAAUACUUGGUGUCUGCUCUCUGAGCUGGAAAUGACCUCCAGACAUAUCCUUAACUCGUGGAUCGGGUUAAAAUAGCUUUCCACCUGUGUUCUCGUUGGUCUGGUUCAAGUGUGUGCUCUUGUCAGUGAGGGUGUUUGCUGUGCUGCUUGCCAAGUGAAGGCCUGGAAAGGGCAACAACUUUCACUGAUGUGUUCCUGGGAAGCGUUCUGGGAGAUAUGGCUGGGGUGUGUAAGUGCAUGUAAACUCCAUGGGCAGCUCAGCAGUAUGCUGAGCUCUUGUGAAAUGCCUUUCACAUGGACCAGACAGUAAGGGCCAUUUGACAGGUGUCAGCACUGUGCUUGAACUGAGCAGGGGCUGCAGACUGAAGUGACCUUAGGAAGGUUUAUGUGUUUGAUAAAGGAUAUGUGAUAGGAUGAGAUUGCAACACUCCACAAGUCAGGGCUUCCUGAUAGGUCCAUACCUAUCUAUUCAAUAGGAUGGCAUUCUGCAGUGUCAUCUACAAAUGCAGAACAUGGAUUUCAUCCCAAAAAAACAUUAUCGAGUAGAAGAUGAGUGUGGAAGAUAAAGGAGUAAAAAAGGAACCAUGUUGGUCAGUAUGGCAGGCAGCUGCUGGCAAGUAGGACACUGCAGCAUUAAGAAGUGUAGGAGAAGAGCAAAGUGCUUCUGCAAGUAUUCAUAGGGAGUCCUAAGCAGAAAUUCAGCACCCAGAAAGAAGGAUGCUUCCUUGGAAAUAAGAUGGUGAGGCAUAAAGACCAAUGCAGCAGACCAUCCUUACAACAGCUUUUUAUUUGAAAAGUAAAGACAAGUGACUUAUGCUUGAUGCAAAGUAGAUUGAUCGCAUGACAUGGAUGGGAAAGGAUGAGGCGAUGUCAAAAUGCCAGUGAGGAGACCAAAUCUGCUGCAGAAUACUGGACUGGUGUGAGCAAAGCAAGAGUGAAACUGGCGGUCUAACCAAGGUAUGACGUGGUGACAGUUCAGCCAGGUGGAUAAUUGUCACUUCUCAGUAUUCUAUGCAGGAAGUCUUCAAGAGAAUUAAACCUCAUGUGGAGUUGGAGGCUGUAAUUUGUUGUGGGGUGUCAUGUUGUCAGCAAUGCAAGAAGGUGGGGAUGGAUGGAGGCAUGGCUACGAGCCUCAUUUCAGCCAGGAAGAACCUGAGUUACAUGUAGGUCUAAAUAAGAGAUGACCUCUGAGAUGGAUACUUCUUACUGUAAUUAUUUUAUAACUCUUAUUUAAGAGGGGACAAGUCUGAAGCUGAGCAGUGAACCAGAAGUUAUCUCUGUGGAGGCAGUCAUUGACUUUGUGUAUGGAGUUUUUUGUUUGUUUGUUUCUUUGUUUGUUUUUCUCCCCAUGUGAAAGAGACCAGGAUCUGUUCAAGCCUGGUGAGAAAGACCCCUUAGCAAGUGUCCAGAAUCCAGAAGAAUGCAGAACAAGACCUCAAGAGCUUGAUCAACAGUAAAUGAAGAGGGAUAAAGAUGAAGUGUGUGAGUAAGAAGAUGUGACAGAUAUUAGCCAGAGAAGUUUGGGUAAGACGUGAGGGGCAGGAGCUUCUGAAGGAACAUCAGGAUAGUAUGAACAGCAGUAAGCUAUGAGAUGGAGUGGUGUCCAGAAGAGCGAGAAGAAAAUCAAGGAUUCUGGGGUGCAUUUUAAGGAAAGGAUGUGCUAAAGGAUACUAGUGAGGAGGAAAAUAAAGAAUAUCAUGUUAAAUGAAAAUGGUUAAGGCUAAUUAAAAUAGAAAGGGUGAAGGAAAGUGAGAGUGCCCUGUUUUAAGGGAGGACAGACCAGUGCUCUACCACAGAGACAAGGAAAAUACAUCACUUAGAGAGAACAGGGGAGCCAGGAAAAGCAAGUGGUUGACAGAAUUUGCAUCAGUGAGAGCUGCAGAUGUACUUCUUCAGACUCAGGUGGAUCUUACAGCUGCUUAGUUGGGAAGGGGACAAUAAGGAGAGGCAGAAAGAUGAAUUUGUUGUGUUAAUAGCUUUGGGGGGAAAAAAGAAGAAAACAAAAAUUGAAAUGAGUAGUCAGUAGGCCAAACUCUGGGUAGGUAGUCUAGACUGGAGUGGAAUGAAGCUUGAAAGAAAAGCAGCAAUUUCCAAAUUGAGAAGAGGACAGGGAGGAGAAGUCUGCAAACAGAAGAGGAAAAAAACUAAUUGAAUGGUCUGGUUGAGCAGUGAUCAGAGCGGGAAUCUGCAAAGUGGAGAGGUGAGGAAGAGCAGUAGUAGGUGAAAAA